GCAUGGGUCAGACGAUCAGGCAUAAACUAGGCUAGGCAUCGAGGUGUUGAGUAUCGAGGUCAAUGGAGUACACAAAGUCAAAGCCAGAAUAUCAUCACUUAGAAAGGUUUUGUAUGGAAAGGCUAUAGUAACUGAACAUAUACUUUGCAAAGACAUUGUGUUCAAUGUUUUAUGUGUGGUGUGACUGCGAGUGUAAAGUGACAUGACACCAGGACCCAAACCAGAGCCAUAGAUGUGUACGUGACACAGUUGAGGAGUAUUGCACCUACACAGACACAAAACCAGUACCUGGAUUGGUUUGAGCCUGAUAUUUAUCUUCCUGGUUUGGUAUGCAAAGCCACUGCAGGGUGUCACGUACAGCGGUAGCGAUGGCUACACAUGCAAGCUCGUAUAGCAUCAUGAGGGCACAGAGUCAUGCCUCAAUUCUUCAUGGCAUGGAUUCCACAAGAUGUUGGAAACUUCUAUUGGAUUCAGAUACGGUGGAUUCUAUUGGUCUAUUGGAUUCACAUCUAUUGGAUUCAGAUCAGGUGACUGGGAAGGCCACUGAAGAACAUUGUUAUGUUCAUGAAAUUAUGGACAACUUUUGCUUUGUAAGAUGGUGCAUUAUCAUGUUUGAUGUAGCCAUUCAAAAAUGGGUAAACUGUGGCCAUGAAGGGAUGCACAUGGUCAGCAACAAUACUCAAAUAGACUGUGACAUUCAAGCGAUUAUUGAUUGGUAUUAACGGGCACAAAGUGUGCCAAGAAAACAUUCCCCACACCAUUACACCACCUCCACCAACCUGCGCUGUUUAUACAAGGUAGGUUGGGUCCAUGGAUUCAUGCUGUUGGUGCCAAAUUAAGACCCUACUAUCUGUCUGCCUCAGCAGAAAUACAGAUUCAUCAGACCAGGCUACAUUUUUCCAGUCGUCAAAUGUCUAGUUUUGGUGAGCCUGUUCCCACUACAGACUUCAGCUUUCUUGACAGACAGAAGUGGAACCCGACGUGGUCUUCUGCUGUUGCAGCCCUUCUGUCUGAAGGUUUGAAGUGGUGUGCGUUCUAAGAUGUUUUUCUGUACAGAGUGGUUAUCUGCGUUACUGUCGUCUUUCUGUAAGUUUGAACCAGUCUGGCAAAUCUCCUCUGACCUCUCUCAUCAACAAGGCCUUUACGGCCGAAGAACUGCUGCUCACUAGUUGCCCAAGGAAUGCCAAAAAUGCAAAUGCGUGCAUUAUCCACAUAUCUGCAAUUCCCUACUAUGUGAAACCAAGAGGCUUGAUUUUGUGUUGCAAGGAUCAUGAAUGUGAAUCAUUUCUAACAGCCGGUUGGAAGGUUGGAGGCAUGUUCCCAAAGAUCAUCUUCAGCCUCAACUCCAAAGAUUGUGUUGUUGUGAAUAAGAAGUAAGUACCAAAUGCAAAACAUGAGGCAAUGCUUACCAAUGGAGGCUUAACAACCUCCAUUUGAGGCUACACAAAGAAUUGUAAGUUUAGUCUUAUAAUACAAGAAUAGCUACUACUAGACGGAAGUGAGGAGGAUUACACUGGAAAUUGUCACGUUUCGUGACGUGAGGAAGUUCAGGACGGAUGCAAGCGCAGGAUGAACAGGUUUUAUUUAAGAGAGAGACAGGCAGACAAAUCCAAAACGUGAUCCACAAACGUAAUCCAGUAACCUGCAAAGUUCAGGCGAUCGGCAAACAGGCAUACACAGGGCUAGGCAGGAAUCAAGGUCGUGGUCACAGAAAAUAGGGUCGAGAUACAAAAUAUAAAACAUAAGCUACAGCGAGGGACUAGUAGCAGAGAAACCAGCAUGAACUAAACUAACGAACCAGACUAAGACUAAGACUAAGACUAAGACUAAGACUCAAAACAUGACACUAUGAACUGUGCCUGUGGUUCUCUAUCGUAAGGACGCUAAACUAAUCUACUAUCUAACUCAAUAUUCCAUGUUGUGUGCUGGGAGGCGCGCGGUAUAUAUGCGGACAUAAUCAGCGUUGUAAUUGCUGACGGGCAAUGAGGGCAAUUCAGACACACAUGAAACAACAACCAAUGACAGAACGGGGAGGAGACAUAACAGAAACAUAAACAAAUGCACGUGUCGAAAUGUCACGAUUGUCAACAAGGGAAAAGCGUUGACACGCGCGCUCGCUCACAUGCUCCACAGUGCGCUGCUUAAAGGGGAACUCGUGACAGAAAUGAUCAAGUAUAGAGCUACUGAUUCUGAGUAGAGCCCUGGCUGAGUGCUACAACCUGGACACUAUUAAUAACUGUUAUAGCUAAUAUAGUCCCAGUACCUCAGAAAUACGUAGUGACAUGCCAUAAAGACUACCACCCAGUAGCACCUACCCUGAUCAUAGUGAAAUGUUUUGAAAAAGUAGUCAUCUAAUAUAUCAAAGGCCCUGCUUAUCUGUUUAACCCCCAUAAGCUUGUUAUUUACUGAGUUCAGUCUGACAUUCAAUAUGAUCCUAUCAUACCAUUAAACAUGUCACUAAGUUUAAUGACCUGGAAUUUAAUUCAAGCUUAAUUUACUGGGGCCCUGCAGAGCUGUUUGGACACAUCAGUACCAUACUCAGCUCUUGGUGCUUUCUCUGUCAGUCAAGAUUGGUGACUAAAUUGGAUCACCUCAGGUGCUUUUUAUGCUCAGUCCCAUAUUUAUCUAUGACUGCACCCUUAGUCAUGAGAGUAACACAAUUAUUAGGAUUGCAGAUGACAGUACUCUUAUGCCAAUGAUUAGAGGUUGUGAUGAAUCAUCCUACAGGGAGAAGGUCAAGAAACAUCACUGUGCUCAGGCAAUAGCUGCAUCAACAAUGUCAAGAAAAUGUCAAGACCAAACUAGUUGUCAUGGACAAACGGGUCAGCUCUUUUAGAUAAACAUUGAGAGCAAAGGUUUUUUUUGCGUGAAAAUAAUUUCCAUCACUAGACAGAACACAUCCCAUCAAGGUGAACAUUUAAAUUCCACAAAACAGAGGAAAUAAUCAGGAUGUUUCACAUCUUUAUUUUUGCAAGUCAAAAAAAAAACCAGGGAAAGCCUGUUUUAAGUAUCUUACUCUCAUGAAUUUCUAAGAUCUAGUCUUGUGCUAUAAAAGUGAGCAUGGCCGUUCUACUAGAUUCCACUAGUUCCUUGACUCAUUCAGUAAAGCUGAAUAUAUCUGCUUUUAGCUACUCAGUCCUGUAUUGUAUUGUAUAACAGUAUAAAUUAGUCACAAAGUUGUUGUUUUUUAAAAUCACAUUUACUUUUAUUGAAUGUCUUGCAACUGAACAUGUUGCGUUGUGAUACUAGUAUCUAUAUCUACAUAAAGAGCACCUCUAUUUUAUGUAAGAAUCUUUGGUCAUAAUCAUUCUAUCAAGAAGUUCUAUUCACACUCCCGGUCUGUAGUCUUCUUCUGAUGUUGUGAUAAGCACGGAUGAUUUUAACAACCUCUUUACAUAUAAAUUCAGGUGUUUCAGGUCUUGAGUAUCUAAAUGAGAUGAGUCACAGCAUAGUGCGUGUUUGUUUUGUGCUGAAGCGUGAGGCCUGGAGCAGCUGCCAGGCUUGGAAAUUGUCUUUGCCUUCAGGAUAGUGUGUAAUCUGCAGGCUUUGACCUGAACAAAGCAGGGCCAUGGCUGGCUGCAUGAAUGAUAUUGCCUCAUCUCAUCUAUUGGCUGUUGGUUUAGCCCCCAAAAGCAGAGUCUCCCUGUCCUUUAGCUGUGUAGGAGUGUUUGUGUGUCUACGUGCAAAAUAUUUCCAAAUGGAGAGCUUCCAGCAUGUGGGCUUGGAACAAUGCAGAGUUCUUGAAGAGAGAAGGAUGUUGAAGAAACUGCACGUAGCCAUCAUAGAGGCGCCAUGGGAGCUCCCUCCCCCCUCCAUGUGAGCUAUGUUGUCCUUAUCUCACCUUUACAUGAGAUAAAGUUAAACAAUUCAGUAGUUCUUUCUAUAAAUAGCUGCUAUAACAUUACUGUAAAUGUGAGUCUCUUUUAUGGGAAAAUACAUGAAAGGGUGCAUGUUAAAUGACAAAUGUGACACUGAAUUUGCAGUCAUACAUGAGAUACACUUUGUUAAAACAUUUUAGCAUCAUUUUAACAUAAUCAUUAAACAUUGUGGGAGUGGUAAUUUACCUCAAAUUCCAAUGUCCUUUUGUAUGAAUUAUAAAGUAAUUUAGAACACUUAAAACAAUUAGAUUAAAUUUGAGCAGUUACUCAUGUGAUCUUCUGAAGCUUCUAUACGGUAUACUGAAGCUCCUCUGUACUGUAGGGGAAAUAACUACAGUGACUAGAUUAUUGCAAUGAUAAGAGCACACUGUGCAUGCUGUAACAGAUGGAUGGUAAGGAUGCAAUGAGUUGUUGCUUUUUUUUGCUUCAGUGUUUUUUCUUUCCCUCUGUGUCUUUUGAAGUGGAGUUGUGAAUAUGUAACUUACACUUCUGUGCAUGACUGUAAGCUUGGCUUUUUUGUUCUGUUUUUGAGUAUGGAUAUUUCUUGAAUAAUUACAUUUGUGAAGACAUUUACUAUAUUUAACUAAAUAUAUAAGAUUUUUACACCUUUUGCCUUACUAUGCUUAUUUAACAUUGUGUUACUUUGUGUUCAUUUAUAAACUGUGCAGUGAACUACAACUGAGGGGGCACAGAGGCUUAGGUGUGGGCAGUGGUGGCUCAAUGGUUAAGGCUCUGGGUUAAUGGUCAGAAGGUCAGGAGCUCAAGCCCCAGCACAACUGAGCUGCCACUGUUGGGCCCCUGAAAAAGUCCCACAACCCUCCCUGCUCCAGGUGUGCUGAAUCAUGACUGACCCUGCCCUCCAACCCCAGCCCCACAACAAGCUGGGAUAUGUGAAAAAAUAAUUUUACUGUGCUGUAAUGUAUAUGUGACAAAUAAAGGCCUCUUAUUCUUCUUCAUUUGUUCCUCUAGGUUUGGGGGUUCAAAUUCUGCCUCCACAGUGUACGUGGAGUUUGCAUGUUUUCCCUGUGCUACAUGCAUUGUAGGUUGAUUGGCAUUUCCAAAUUGUUCAUAGUGUGUGUGCGAUUGUGCCCUGCGAUGGGUUGGCACCCAAUCCAGGGUGUCCCCUACCUUGUGCCUCAGUUCCCUGUUAUAAGCUCCAGGCUCCCCUACAACCCUCUGUAGCAUAAGGGUAUGGAAAAUAGAUGGAUGACUGGAACUAGUGGCAAAGAGUGAACUUAACUACAGACUGCCCAACUACAGGCUGUAUUUUUUUUUUUUUUACUAUAAAUAACUUUUCAUAUAAAAAUCAUUGUCCCAAAUGAUGAUGAUAUUUUAAAAAGUUUUUAAGUUUUAUGACUACAAUUAAAGUGUGUUAAAUAAGUCCUG
ensembl:lncRNA